rnacentral:tRNA from 1 species
GCGCACAUAGCUCAGCGGUAGAGCGCUUCGUUCACAUCGAAGAGGUCCAUGGUUCAAAUCCAUGUGUGCGCA